GGGUUUCACCAUGUUGGCCAGGCUGGUCUUGAACUCCUGACCUCAGGUGAUCCACCUGCCUGGGCCUCCCAAAGUGCUGGGAUUACAGGCGUAAGCCACCGCGCCCAGCCAAGUAAAAUUAAAUAUUCUUGUAUUCUUUUUAUAUCUCUGGAAAAGUAUUAAAUACAUUCUUCCAGAAAAACCUUCGCUGAAGGGCUUGGCUGGACUAGUUUCCCACAGCUUAUCCUAGGGCCUCUGGGUAGAAUUGUUUUUCUUUAUUGUGUGGAUAGAUCAGACUCAGUACGGAGACCAACAGGCUCUCUGUCUUCUCCUCAGAAGCAACUGGGAUUCUCCAGAGCAGUCAUAAGGUGACAGAAAGGCCCCAGAACAGAUGUUUCGUGUGUGACAGAGCCUCCAGGGAGACGACUCUGUUGCUUUAACAGUGCUAAUGAGGCCAGGUUGCCAGUGGGUCCUCACCUGAGCCAGUUACUUAUUUAUAUGACUCCAUCUUAUUCCUCAAAGGGUUUAAAGUGCCCUGUUUGGGCCAGGUGUCUUCACACUGAGAAAAGCGGCGUUCCACGGUCACAGCCAGAGGUGCUUCCUGUGCUCCUAGGUUUCAUCUCUUCUGAGCACCUGAUGAAAAGCAUUGGCUGUCAGUGCAGGCACUUAGAAGAGAGGCAAUGUGCACAGAGCCGAGUGCCCCAGCCUGCACUUCCCCACCUGUGUGACCUUGUGCACGUAACCUGACUUCUCUGUGCCUCAAUGUCUUCAUGUGUAAAAUGGAGAUUAAAUGAGAGAAAGCAUGUCAGGUGGGUAGCAUGGUGCCUGGCUCAAUGUAAGUUCUCAAUAUGUGUAAGCUGUUUAUCUUUUUCCUCUUAUUAUACUUUGGCCAAGGUGGAAAAAGCUUACCAUGACACAGUCUAGCGAUGAACAUAACAUAUGCUGGAAUAUGUAUUUUCCUAUGCUGGGUUAUUGGCAAAGAAGCAAACAGGACACAAAAUGACUAAGAAUAUAAAAUAAUAUAACAAGUGCAGCUAAGUUGCAGACAUGUUCAUUCCAAGCACAAUAUUCAUGUUAGGCCACCCUCCGGUUCCUUAAUGAAAGCAGAGGACAGAAGGUGACAUUUGGCAUUGGGUAAUCCUAUUUGCCCUUUCCUGGAAUGCAAAGAAGGUGGAAGGAAAGGAUCCCACUCCUGUAGCACACACAGAGGCUUUGGGACCCCGUGCCUCCUGCCAACAUCACUCAGCUCAUUCAUUUAUUUAUUCACGUCAGUGACAGAUUCUCAAGACCUCUGAAAAUAUGUUAAGAGCAGGCUCUCCAAUCACACCAGAAAGAAUAUGAUUAAGAACUUAGAGCUGUCUUUAGGCUAAUAACCAGCAGAAACUAAAUCCAAGUAUUUGGGAGUGAAGAUGGUUGUUGAAAAUAUUGAGGCCUAGUAAAUAUUAUUUAGCAAAUGGAAGUAUUUCAGUCGGGGGUUUUGAAAGGCUUAGGUUUAUACUGUAAUCAGCCUGCUCUCUUCUCUAAAAUGAUUAGAGUCCUUGUUCCAUCAGUCCUCCUGAGUGGCUGCGGAACGCAGAAAAGGCAGCUGGUGACAUGCUGUGAAUUGGAAGUGGCUUCUAUUUACCUCUUCUCCACCUACUCAUAUGGCCACGGAUGGUGCCCAGUUCAAGCAGGAAUAAAACACCACGCGAGGCUAACUGGCCUAAGUCCUUCGAGUGGAGCGCAGAAACUUGCUUUAAGAGAGCCUGAUUAAAGGCCCCAAGUCCAUUUUAAGGCAUGGUUUUCUAUUAAGCCUUUAAUGCUUACAGAAGUAUACAUUUUCCAUAGAAAGGGAACCUAAACUGUCCUAAUAUGUGGGCAGUUUAGCUCCUGACUCCCAACUUGGCCAGAGGUGUGGUGAAUCAGCAUGUCACAUUCCACUAAAAGAUGCUUCCCUGUUUAUGUUUGUUUGGUGUUUAGGAAUGUAAUAACUAUACUAGAGUUCUUUCUUAGGCUGUGGUCUGCCUCUGAGGGAACUGAAAGUGAUGCAGAGAGCCAAAACCAGCAUCAUGAUUCUAUCAGAAAGCGUAUGUUUGUGUCCUUCAUUAGGAACAUUGCCGUUCUAUGCUACCGAAUGAAGAGGAUCUUAUUGAUACCUCCCUCUCGCUUCUGCCUCCAAACCAAUCCCUUGCUUCCUUCCACCCAGAAAUAAAAGGACACUCUGAGUUAUGGCAUUAUCAGUGAAUUUUCAGUGGGUAGGAUGUUCUGAGCAGUGAAAACUAUAAAUAAAUUGGUUCUACGCUGGAAUUAGCUGUGGAGCCGGAAAGAUAAACACAGGACAACUAAUUGCAGCCGCACGAUUAACAAGAAUGUUGUUCUAAGGAGAGAAAAAGUCAACAGCAUUAAUGAAAAUUAAGCAGUAUCUCAAUGGUACUAGUAAAUAAAUAAAUAUAUGUCUAUGUUUAAUUAAAAGCAAGACCCAAUUAUGUCUCACUUCUUACUGAGCUACUUAAAUCAAGACAGUCUAAUGUUAAAUGAGAAAAAUCAACUCAGGACACUGUCAUCUGCAUUUAAUCAAGACUUCUGUGUCUCACACAAGCUUUCAAGAUGGGUAGCGGUAGGGGUGUGUGUUUAGGAGUCUCAUGCAAACUUCCCAUUGCCCUGCAGUGGACAGGUCUAUAGAUCUCCAGUUGGAGUACAGAAAUCUUCUAGAAGAAUUGUGACUGUAAAGCCACUUCUAUAACUCUUACUCUGUGAUUCUGAUGCAAACAUACCAUUUUGGGUUAAUAUAAGCAAAGCUUGUAUCUAGAACUAUAGCUAAAAGUAUCAAUGUGGUGUUAUUUUUUUUCUGACAAUAAAAGCAAUACAUAAAUGUGCAGCAAAAUGUUUACUUAAGGUUUUGCUUCUUUUCAACUAAAUUUGUUUAGUACACAUUAAAGGUCAGAUGUGGGGAAGAUAGAUUGGGGGUCAGGGGUUGUUUCUACCUGCUUUGUCUAAAUACCUUACCGCAGUCAAUGUCCUUAGUUGUUUUGUGUCUACCCCCAUUAACUGAAAACCCAAGGUGAGAAAGUCUUCCUUGCUGAGUUUAGUGACAGUUCUCUCCCAGGUGAAGGGGAUGGGGUAAGAGGCAGAAACCCCUGUCUCCAGAGGAAUCUGAAGAGAGAGUGUGCUUUGAUGACCCCGGGGGUGCAGGAAGGAAGUGGGGCCCAAGCAGGCAAUGACUAUGCCUGGCCCUGGAGUUGCGUACUUGGCCCUUACUGUAUCAUUUCUUGUCUCACUUCCUCUCACUUGUCAGGAAUGUUGCCAGGACUGGUGAAAAGACAAGUGAGAUACCACGCCAAAUAAAGCCAAAUCCUUGAAAGAAAGAUGCGAUGGUCUACAAAUCAAAGCAAAGGCCAGAAAAGCGACCUUCAGAAGGAGCCAGCACCCCAGCUCCUGCCUCAGGGCGAUAUGAAGACCCCAGGAAGGAAAUUAUGCUGAGAAAAGGAGAUCACACCUCUGUCCAGCCUGCACCGGCCCCUUGGCAUGCCCUGAAGACACAAGGCCUAAAUCAAGGUCAAAGACACAGCCCUCCUGGUUGUGAAGAUUCCAAAGGCUCCCAGCUGCAUGAGGAGGGUUACCCAGAAUGUCAGAUUUGGAGCAAUUCAGCGAGAACCCUUCAAAAUUCAGUGUGGUAUGUGGAAGGUAAGAGGCAGACAGGCCACCAGGAGGUGGGUUUUAUUUCGUGUGCACAAAGUUUUAAAAAAUACAUGUGCACCAUUAAAAGGGAAAAAGAAGAAAAAGAAAAACAGCAAAAGCAGGAGACUCUACGUUUUUAAAAAUCUGGAUUUCCAGCUUCUUUUAAAUAAAGAAGUAGAGGUUCUGGCUACACUGGGCCCACAUUACUCCCCUCCCUGAACGGUGAGCUGGAGUUGCACAGCUUAGGUCCUCUUUGGGUAGAGUACAUGCUUCCCAAUUCUCCAGGGCUCCUUCCACUGUUGCUACUUCAGCCUAUAUUUUAGUGUUUUGCUUGUAGUGCAGAAAUAUUUCUCUGUGCUCAUGAAUCUACAAAAUGUGAGAAAACAAAACAUAUACCCAGAGGACUGUGUGUUUUACCAGCAAGUGCAGAAAGCGCCUUUGUGGAAGCAAGGAAUAGUGCUAAUAUUUACUAUGCAAACCCCCGGCAUGCACCACUCAUUCUCAUUACCUGCCUGGCUCUUAAGGGUAUUUUAUUUUGUAGCCUCUGCCUGGAAGACUUGGAAGACGGAAAUCUGUAGAUAGUCUGCAACUAUUUAUCCACCCAUUUCUGCUUACAUAGGUCAUGGCAGAAUUACCGUGGCACGCUACUUUGGCAAGAGUUCUGCUGUCUUUAGCCCUUGCAUAGUUAAUCACCUGCAGCAAACUUAAAGAAUCUUAUCCAUCGGUCUUCAAAGGGGUAGGAAUUUGAGAGACCAACCUUUAGCUCUUUUGCUUGGAAUACUAAUAACAUGAAUUUCUACAAUGGUCUUCUCCAUCUUUCAUAUACAUGAGGAAGUUCAGGCUCAGACAGAUAAAUGACUUGCCCAAAGGGUGAAACUGGAGUAUUAGCUGGUCUAGAAAGAAGGUUGGGAAGGAAACAUUUCCUUACUCCUUCACCUGGGGAAAGCAAGUUGCCCUUCCCCACACCCUCUUCUGUCCCCCAGCAUGCAUACAAUAUGUACACACACUAGCCCACUGGUUACAGGCUGGCUAGCUUCUCCCAGCCUCUCUCCAGAGGGUCACCCUCAUCUAGCAGAUGUGGGCAGGAAGAGAAGUCCACUUGUGCUUGCUGCCAGAGGAGAUGGCCACUGCCAAUUGAGGCUGAUCAUGAAGAGUGGGUUCCUGGAGUCCUCAGCAGAGCACUGGCUAUUCAUGGACAAGGACAGGUGAGAAGCCCUCCUGUUUUCUGCCUCUGGCUCUGUAGUGUUGCCUAGUUCGCAUCAGAUGGGGAAGGAGCUAAAUACUCAUCCCAGCUCAGAAGUGGAACUGAGACUGCUCCGCCAGGGCGCAAAUAUCAUGGUGCAUAGAGAGCAUAUAAACAUCCUAAAGGCCAGGCACGGUGGCUCAUGCCUGUAAUCCCAGCACUUUGGGAGGCCGAGGUGGGUGGAUCACCUAAGGUCGGGAGUUCAAGACCAGCCUGGCCAACACGGUGAAACCCCGUCUCUACUAAAAAUACAAAAAUCAGUAGGGCAUGGUAGUGCACAUCUGUAAUCCCAGCUACUUGGGAGACUGAGGCAGGAGAAUUGCUUGAACCUGGGAGGCAGAGGUUGCAGUGAGCCAAGAUCAUGCCACUGCACUCCAGCCUGGGAGACAGAGCAAGAUUCCAUCUCAAAAAAAAAAAAAAAAAAAAAUGCUAGAAAAAGAGCAAAUGCAUAGCAUUGGCACUGGUGGUGUGAAAGCACAGCCCAGGAUGCCUCUUCAGUCACAGUCACCCACUAAAGCUAUUCGAUGAGCACCUAGCAUGGGCUAGGUACCUAGACCAACACACAGUUUCACCAACAUCCCUGGCUAAGGUCACGUGAUCCACAGAGAUGCUUGUUUGCUGAGCAUGAGUCAGAUCUGGAGAAAGUCCUGAGAAAGUCCCAAGGCUUCUAUGUCUGAAGUUCCAAGCCAGGAUGGAAGCAGCCAAUUCACCUGCUAUAGACUAAGUGUUUGUGUCUUCCUCCCCUCAAUUUAUAUGCUGAAACCCUAACCCUCAUGGUACUUGGAGGUAGGGGCUGGGUUAGAUUAAGUCAUGAGGGUGAGGGUGGGGCCCUCAUGAUGGGCUGAAUGCCCUCAUUAAAGAAAUGGAGAAACAUGAGAUCUCUCUCUCCACCAUGCGAGGAUACAGCAAGAAGACGGCUAUCUGCCAACCAGGAAGACAGCCCUCACUAGACACAGGAUCUGCCAGCACUUUCAUCUUGGGCUUCCCAGCCUCCACAACUGUAAGAAAUAAAUGUCUGUGGCUUAAGCCACUCAGUCAAUAGUAUUUUGAUAUAGCAGCUUGGGCUGAGAUAUCACCUGUAUCGAUUCUUUGGCAAUGGAUUCAGCAAAUGGUGGCUUUGUAGAAUGAUCAGUUAACUGCAGGGAUCAGUCGUCAGACGGAGCUAAAAAGUCCCAUGCUCGGGGAGCCUCACCGGAGUUCCAGGAAAAUGUUAAGAAGAAGAAUAACAACUUAAGCUUCUACACGUCCUAACCCUGCACCAAAUGCUUUAGGUACGGUGUUAUUCAUUUAAAUCCCAGAACAUGCAACAGCAGGUUUCAUCAGAUAUAUUUUAUCCAGGGGGUAUAUAAGGCUCAGAGAAUAAAAAGGAUAUCCAAGGUCACCAGGUUGCAACCAAUACAGGCAGGUUUCAACCCAAUUCCUCUGACUCAAAGCCCUGGCUCUGUUCUCCACGGCUGUGCCAAGGAAGACUGUGCCGAAGAUACCUUUUUGGUCUCAGAUUGUUGAAUUUUCCUUGACUCCUGGGAAACAGUUUAAAGCAGCCGCAAACAUGGUUUCCACAACUGCAUUCCUGAAGCGCAUACCCAGAGUUACUUCUUGUAACAGCACUUUCUUCCAGAUGACUGAGAUGCGUCUGCUGGUGAUAAGAUCAGAUUAACCUAUUUCAACUUGAUAGCUAGAUUCUGACACACUGAAGAAAAAAAAAAGAAAGAAAAAACUAUAGGAUCAAAACCACAGUUACACUGGACACAAUAUUUUCCCUUAGGAUGCCCUCAGACUUUACAACCAGAUACUUACCAUAGAGCCAAAAGAAAGUAAGAAUCACCAUUCUUCCUUGAUCUAAAGAUAUAUAGUUUGGAUAGUCUGAAAUUAGAAUGUGUCUCAAAAUCAAUGUUUAAUUUUAAUAUGGUGGGCUUUUUUUCCCCUCUCCCACUCCAAGUGAGCAUUGACCUUCGGGAUACUUCAAAAGCUGCAAUUAAUAUAAUUGUGUGUCUUAAAAUAAAUGACAUUUUAUUUUAUUUUAUUUUGUAGAGACAGGUUCUCGCUCUGCCACCCAGGGAGGA